AUUGAACGCUGGCGGCAUGCCUUACACAUGCAAGUCGAACGGCAGCACGGGGCAUCCUGGUGGCGAGUGGCGAACGGGCGAGUAAUGCAUCGGAACGUACCUUUCAGUGGGGGAUAACGUAGCGAAAGUUACGCUAAUACCGCAUAUUCUGUGAGCAGGAAAGCAGGGGAUCGCAAGACCUUGCGCUGAUUGAGCGGCCGAUGUCAGAUUAGCUAGUUGGUGAGGUAAAGGCUCACCAAGGCGACGAUCUGAAGCGGGUCUGAGAGGAUGAUCCGCCACACUGGAACUGAGACACGGUCCAGACUCCUACGGGAGGCAGCAGUGGGGAAUUUUGGACAAUGGGGGCAACCCUGAUCCAGCCAUGCCGCGUGAGUGAAGAAGGCCUUCGGGUUGUAAAGCUCUUUCGGCCGGGAAGAAAUCGCACGGGCUAAUACCCUGUGUGGAUGACGGUACCGGAAUAAGAAGCACCGGCUAACUACGUGCCAGCCGCCGCGGUAAAAC
rnacentral:rRNA from 1 species